CCGUUCCCAUACCGAACACGGAAGUUAAGCUUCUCAGCGCCGAUGGUAGUUGGGACUUUGUCCCUGUGAGAGUAGGACGUUGCCAGGC
rnacentral:rRNA from 1 species